rnacentral:rRNA from 1 species
AGCAGCCGCGGUAAUUCCAGCUCCAAUAGCGUAUAUUAAAGUUGUUGCAGUUAAAAAGCUCGUAGUUGAAUUUCGGGAUCAAUAUGUUGGUCGUGCCUCGGUACGUACUAGCUUAUUGGUUUCUCCUUUCUGAAGAACCAUGAUGUCAUUUAUUUGGUGUCGUGGGGAAUCAGGACUGUUACUUUGAAAAAAUUAGAGUGUUUAAAGCAGGCUCACGCUUGAAUACAUUAGCAUGGAAUAAUGAAAUAGGACGUUUGAUUCUAUUUUGUUGGUUUCUAGGAUCGACGUAAUGAUUAAUAGGGAUAGUUGGGGGCAUUAGUAUUCAAUUGUCAGAGGUGAAAUUCUUGGAUUUAUUGAAGACUAACUACUGCGAAAGCAUUUGCCAAGGAUGUUUUCAUUAAUCAAGAACGAAAGUUAGGGGAUCGAAGACGAUCAGAUACCGUCGUAGUCUUAACCAUAAACUAUGCCGACUAGGGAUCGGAUGAUGUUAAUUUUUAAUGUUCCCAUUCGGCGCCUUACG